rnacentral:rRNA from 1 species
GGUUAAGCGACUAAGCGUACACGGUGGAUGCCCUGGCAGUCAGAGGCGAUGAAGGACGUGCUAAUCUGCGAUAAGCGUCGGUGAGGUGAUAUGAACCGUUAUAACCGGCGAUUUCCGAAUGGGGAAACCCAGUGUGUUUCGACACACUAUCAUUAACUGAAUCCAUAGGUUAAUGAGGCGAACCGGGGGAACUGAAACAUCUAAGUACCCCGAGGAAAAGAAAUCAACCGAGAUUCCCCCAGUAGCGGCGAGCGAACGGGGAGGAGCCCAGAGCCUGAAUCAGUGUGUGUGUUAGUGGAAGCGUCUGGAAAGGCGUGCGAUACAGGGUGACAGCCCCGUACACAAAAAUGCACAUAUUGUGAGCUCGAUGAGUAGGGCGGGACACGUGGUAUCCUGUCUGAAUAUGGGGGGACCAUCCUCCAAGGCUAAAUACUCCUGACUGACCGAUAGUGAACCAGUACCGUGAGGGAAAGGCGAAAAGAACCCGGCGAGGGGAGUGAAAAAGAACCUGAAACCGUGUACGUACAAGCAGUGGGAGCCUCUUAAUGGGGUGACUGCGUACCUUUUGUAUAAUGGGUCAGCGACUUAUAUUCUGUAGCAAAGGUUAACCGAAUAGGGGAGCCGAAGGGAAAACUGAGUCUUAACUGGGCGUUAAGUUGCAGGGUAUAAACCGAAAACCGGUGAUCUAGCCAGGGGCAGGUUGAAGGUUGGGUAACACUAACUGGAGGACCGAACCGACUAAUGUUGAAAAAUUAGCGGAUGACUUGUGGCUGGGGGUGAAAGGCCAAUCAAACCGGGAGAUAGCUGGUUCUCCCCGAAAGCUAUUUAGGUAGCGCCUCGUGAAUUCAUCUCCGGGGGUAGAGCACUGUUUCGGCAAGGGGGUCAUCCCGACUUACCAACCCGAUGCAAACUGCGAAUACCGGAGAAUGUUAUCACGGGAGACACACGGCGGGUGCUAACGUCCGUCGUGAAGAGGGAAACAACCCAGACCGCCAGCUAAGGUCCCAAAGUCAUGGUUAAGUGGGAAACGAUGUGGGAAGGCCCAGACAGCCAGGAUGUUGGCUUAGAAGCAGCCAUCAUUUAAAGAAAGCGUAAUAGCUCACUGGUCGAGUCGGCCUGCGCGGAAGAUGUAACGGGGCUAAACCAUGCACCGAAGCUGCGGCAGCGACACUAUGUGUUGUUGGGUAGGGGAGCGUUCUGUAAGCCUGUGAAGGUGGCCUGUGAGGGUUGCUGGAGGUAUCAGAAGUGCGAAUGCUGACAUAAGUAACGAUAAAGCGGGUGAAAAGCCCGCUCGCCGGAAGACCAAGGGUUCCUGUCCAACGUUAAUCGGGGCAGGGUGAGUCGACCCCUAAGGCGAGGCCGAAAGGCGUAGUCGAUGGGAAACAGGUUAAUAUUCCUGUACUUGGUGUUACUGCGAAGGGGGGACGGAGAAGGCUAUGUUGGCCGGGCGACGGUUGUCCCGGUUUAAGCGUGUAGGCUGGUUUUCCAGGCAAAUCCGGAAAACCAAGGCUGAGGCGUGAUGACGAGGCACUACGGUGCUGAAGCGACAAAUGCCCUGCUUCCAGGAAAAGCCUCUAAGCAUCAGGUAACAUCAAAUCGUACCCCAAACCGACACAGGUGGUCAGGUAGAGAAUACCAAGGCGCUUGAGAGAACUCGGGUGAAGGAACUAGGCAAAAUGGUGCCGUAACUUCGGGAGAAGGCACGCUGAUAUGUAGGUGAAGCGACUUGCUCGUGGAGCUGAAAUCAGUCGAAGAUACCAGCUGGCUGCAACUGUUUAUUAAAAACACAGCACUGUGCAAACACGAAAGUGGACGUAUACGGUGUGACGCCUGCCCGGUGCCGGAAGGUUAAUUGAUGGGGUUAGCGGUAACGCGAAGCUCUUGAUCGAAGCCCCGGUAAACGGCGGCCGUAACUAUAACGGUCCUAAGGUAGCGAAAUUCCUUGUCGGGUAAGUUCCGACCUGCACGAAUGGCGUAAUGAUGGCCAGGCUGUCUCCACCCGAGACUCAGUGAAAUUGAACUCGCUGUGAAGAUGCAGUGUACCCGCGGCAAGACGGAAAGACCCCGUGAACCUUUACUAUAGCUUGACACUGAACAUUGAGCCUUGAUGUGUAGGAUAGGUGGGAGGGUUUGAAGUGUGGACGCCAGUCUGGAUGGAACCAACCUUGAAAUACCACCCCUUUAAUGGUUUGAUGUUUUAACGUUUGGCCCGUAAUCCCGGGUUGCGGAAAGUGUCUGGGGGGUAGUUUGACGGGGGGGGGCUCCCUCCAAAAAAAUAAACGGAGGAGCACGAAGGUUGGCUAAUCCUGGUCGGACAUCAGGAGGUUAGUGCAAUGGCAUAAGCCAGCUUGACUGCGAGCGUGACGGCGCGAGCAGGUGCGAAAGCAGGUCAUAGUGAUCCGGUGGUUCUGAAUGGAAGGGCCAUCGCUCAACGGAUAAAAGGUACUCCGGGGAUAACAGGCUGAUACCGCCCAAGAGUUCAUAUCGACGGCGGUGUUUGGCACCUCGAUGUCGGCUCAUCACAUCCUGGGGCUGAAGUAGGUCCCAAGGGUAUGGCUGUUCGCCAUUUAAAGUGGUACGCGAGCUGGGUUUAGAACGUCGUGAGACAGUUCGGUCCCUAUCUGCCGUGGGCGCUGGAGAACUGAGGGGGGCUGCUCCUAGUACGAGAGGACCGGAGUGGACGCAUCACUGGUGUUCGGGUUGUCAUGCCAAUGGCACUGCCCGGUAGCUAAAUGCGGAAGAGAUAAGUGCUGAAAGCAUCUAAGCACGAAACUUGCCCCGAGAUGAGUUCUCCCUGACUCCUUGAGAGUCCUGAAGGAACGUUGAAGACGACGACGUUGAUAGGCCGGGUGUGUAAGCGCAGCGAUGCGUUGAGCUAACCGGUACUAAUGAACCGUGAGGCUUAACCUU